AAAUUUGGAGGGGGCGCAGGCUGAUCCAGCAAUGCGCGUGUGUGAAGAAGGCCUGCGGGUUGUAAAGCACUUUCGGUGGGGAAGAAAAGGGUAGGGUGAAUACCCCUGCGUCUUGACGUUUCCCACAGAAGAAGCACCGGCUUACUCCGUGCCAGCAGCCGCGGUAAUAUA
rnacentral:rRNA from 1 species